GGACGGAUGUAGUCUAUGUUGUGCCUGGGUGAAUUCAAAAUGGCGUCUUUUAUAGUCACAAUUACAUGAAUACAUCAGUUCUUUUUUAUUCAAUUAAAUAUUACAUUUGCAGCAUGAUGAACUGCCAUGAUAGAUUCCAUAUAUUUUGUUUAAAUUAUGUUUGUUUGUCGGUUUGCUCAUCGGCUAGGUGUGAAUCACUGACAGUUGCAUCACACCUGACAUUUUGAGCUCCUUGACAAUGAACCACUGGUUCUCUCCGAGUGCUGCGUGACACAUCUGACAGCCAGGACAGGAGCAGAAAAAGAAGUCUUCCUGGGUUUAGAAGACAGAGGGCAGAGGAGGUCCAUGGUUGAUGAAACAGAGAAAAGUGUCUGUGGGGAGGAAAAGGAGUCAGCGUCAUCAGUUUUUUGGCUGGUCUUCCUUACUGUUUGUUUCUAUGAUCUGAACAUAACGUGAUAGCUACCUUAACAUUUUCCUUGUAAUGCACGACCUCUGCGUGAUUCUACUAAAGUAGACACUGAUUAGGUAGAGAUACUAGAUAUUGCUAUUACCUGUUACCACUUAAUCAGAAGUGUUAAAAUUUUUAUAUUCAUAGGCUAAUAAAAUUAAAUGUCAUGGUAAAAUUGGUUAACUUACUGUACAAACUAAACCAGACCUAUAUCCCACCACUUUUUUUCUCUACAAUGUCUUUUAUUCUUCAUGCAUUGAAGAUCUGAAUUAAUACUGAAUUAAUAUUUUUCUAUGUAUUAUAUAGUAUAUAUUAGUAACCUUUAUUAACCUUUAUUUUGAGUAUUAUAUUAACAGCUAUUCAAGAUUUUGAUUUACAUGACAUUUAACAGUAUUUAUAUAUAUUAAUCUAAAGAUAAUUAUACUCUUUGGAUGUGUAUUUGUGUGGUGUCUUUGAAAAACUGUCCACAUAACUGAAAUGUUUUCAUUCUAGUCCAACUGAAAGACACCAAAUGAAAAAAAUAAUAAAUAAGGUAUAAACAUGAUCAAUAUGACCCUAAAAACUAUGUCUCUUGUGUAUACCAUUGUUUUUCCAAAUAGUAAUAUUUAUUGUCAUACAUUAGAGCGUGUAUGCUCUGCUAUAGUUUGCACUGUUUCUGGUCACUGCUUACUGAUAUUCGCAUUGUUUAUUCUGUUUGUUGAUUAUCUGAUUUGUGUCUGUUCUUUGACCCUAAGUUUGCCUUGAUCGAUUUGGAUAUGUUUACCAUUGUUUCAUUAAAACUGCCUCACCUGCA